GUGCUCACUUCAGCAGCAUAUAUACUCAAAUUGGAGUUAUGCAGAAGGAAUUAACAUGGCCCCUGAACAAGGAUGACACACAAAUUCAUGAUACAUUCCAUAUGUUG
ensembl:snRNA U6 U6 spliceosomal RNA